GCCUGGGAACCUCCAUAUGCUGUGGGUGUGUCUCUAAAAAGACAAAAAGACCAAAAAAAAAAAAAAUCAUGUGGAGGGUUUGGUUUUGUUUUGCUUUGUUUUUACUGUUGGGGAGGAACUGUGUUGCUUUGAUCCAGCAAAGAUGCCACAUCUGGAACCACAGGUUGGCAUGACCACUUGUUUACAUUUAUAAUGAACUACUGUCAUUCUCCAUGAUUCAGAUGAUGAGUGCAUGGGAUGAGGAAGAAAUCACCCACCCUUCCAUUAACUCAAGUUGAGUGGCAACACCAAUCACUGCAAAUCCUGCUGGAAUGUGGUAUAGAGUUUGACUUAAUACGUUGGAGAUAGUUCCAAGAUCUUCUGUUAGGCCCAUUCCAUCAUAAUCACCCUCCAUGAGUCUGAUUGCCAGCAUGGUGAUAUUGCCAGGUAGUAAUUAUCUCUGUUUUCUUUUGGAAGUGAGUAUAUUUACCUUAAAAUGUGUCUGUGGUCUCUUUGGACCCACCAUUGAAUGCACUUGGACCAGAGUUCCAUCUGUCAUUAGCCAUAGUAAGAUCCAAUUCCAUAAUAAGGUAGACUGUGUCAGCAUUGGGGUCUCAGAGCCUGUUUUGAUAACUUGUCAAAGUCUGGGUAUUUCCCUUUUCCCAGUGCACCAUCCCUCCAGGAAAGGCCUACGGGAAGAGUCAGUCUGAACUCUUGCUACAUCAGAGUCCCUCAAAGGGCCGUGAGAGCUCAAGAAAGACUCCAGGUAUGUGACCUGAUUAGGUCUGGCAACUGAUUAGGUCUGGCAACCCCCAUCAAUGUGACUCAGGUUUCUUCUCAGCCUUCCUAGAGUUUCCCCUUCCAUACACAUCCAGCAGUGCUUUAAUAGGCUGCCCAGCAUGUUUCAUUUCUGGGGACCUCAGUGGUCAAUUAAUUCUUGUCCCAAAUCCUUAUAGGUCAAAACUCUAUAAUUGCUGGAGUUCCCUUGUGGCGCAUCGGGUUAAGGAUCCGGCAUUGUCACUGCUGCAGCUCGUGUUGCUGCUGUGGCACAGGUUUGAUUCCCUGGCCUGGGAACUUCUGCAUGCUGUGGGUAUGGCCACAAAAAAGAAAAAACAACAACAACUAAUCACCAAGCUGGAUUGUUGUGUCCACCGGUGGGUUUAGCAAUUGGCACCAUUCGGCUCCCUGCCCCUUUGGCCCUUAUUUAGAGCCAGGUGUGCUGUUCCAAUGAUCAGAGGGUAUCACAGACCAGGCAGGCAGUUGACAAGAUGGUGUGGGUUACCGGCUACAGGGCAUGUUGAGCCCUCCUGCCACCUUUCCAAAGACGAAGAUGUCUUCCUGAAUGUCUCUGUCCAGCUGGGAUGCCGGCGAAGCUCCUUCCAAGUGGUGAGCCCAUUUUCAGUUCCAGUCUUGUUUGCAGUGAUUCCCUGCUCCUCUGCUCCACAGGACCUAACAGCCUGCAGCUGCUGCACCCUGGGCAGGAGCCCAGCAAACUUAGGCUCAAGCACUGCUCACCACUUUGCAUUUUUCCCCAUUGCUGAUCCACAGAAGCAUUCAUCUUUUUUGAGUCAUGUGGAAUACAUCCGAAUGAGUCUCCCUGGGGCACUAACGGGAGCGGGAGCGGUGUUCACUGUGUUCACCGCCUAUCUCUAGGAGCCAUGAACUAAAUGCUGGGGCAGCUCCACACUGGAAUGAAGCUUGUUGAAAGUGAGGUACAUCCAUGUCACAUGUCCAGAAUACAGAGGUAAGUGAAAAGGCAGGUCGCACAAGAGCAUGAAUAGACCUAUCCACAUUUUUGUACAAGAAAAGUUAACUGACAGAUGCAGACAGAAGGCGAUGAUAACUCUGUGUUGACUGAGCUGCUAGCAAUGGUGAUCCCACACAGGUGGGGACAGAGGGUGCCUACACUCAAUACACACACACACACACAUUUUAAUGAGCAUAUAUAUAUAUAUAUUAGUCUAGUAAGCAGAAAAAUACAAGUAAAAACAAAUCAUGAUUAGUAAAGCGUUUCAUAAUUAUUUUUAAAUUUCUGAACAUAAUAAAUUUUGGGUAUACCUCUAAUUUAUCCACUCUUAUUCAUACAAUGUAUGAAUUAAAGUGGUAACCAAUAGGUCCACUAUUAUGGAUGAACAGCAUAAUCAGAGUUUUCACUUAGUCAUAACUUCCUUUUCAAACUCUGCUCCUUGCCUCCAGGCGGAGUGUGACAUCCAUGGGUGAGAAUCAACUCACUGGCCAGACAUGUUUCAGAAAAUCACCCAGUGUCCCCUGGCUGCUGUGACACCAGCUACCUGAGCAGACAGAGCAGCUGCAGCAGAAGGCAGCCCUGUGUCACCACCCUAACCAUAUCAGUCCUGCUGAAAAUUCACUGACCUUCAUGUUUCUCCCAAAGUCGGAGGUUUACACAAAUAGCCAAGAUGCUCACACAGGGAGAAACAGGAAUCUCCUCUGCACAGAGAACACAGGUAAAUGAGAUCAGCUGGAACAUACCUGGAUUUGAGGUGAAUGAAGGUGGCCAUGGGCAAGAGACAUCUGUGACAAAUCUCAAGGAUGGAGAAGGGGGGCCAUUCAGCUGCUGCCACCUAUGCCCCAUCCAAGCAGAGGAGGGACAUCGUGGCUGUGCUGCCUGGGCCUCUCCUGCCCUCUGCCUAUACCUCCAGAAUUUCUUCAGGGGCUGGAGGCUGGUCUCAUCACCCUGGUCAAUGAUUAUGAACAGUGAACACAUCAUUAUAAAGAUGAGGAAAACCAUGGCUUUAAGGGACAAGGGAGAGAGUUCCUGCCGUGGCUCAGUGGAAAUGAAUCUGCGUAGUACCCAUGAGGACCCCGGUUCAAUCCCUGGCCUCACUCGGUGGGUUAAGAACGGUGUUGCUGUGAGCUGA